rnacentral:lncRNA from 1 species
AUUCAUAGAAAGGAACAUUACACCUGAUACAGCCCCUAUUCAUUCGAUCGCAGCGGCUUCCCAUCCUGCAAAUCAUCAGUGUCACUGAUCCUGAAGCGAGCUUCUUUUUAUUUAAAUAAUUAAGCGGGGGUGGGGGAGGAGAACUUUACUUCUUCGAUGCAGAUGACCUGCUCUUUAAUUUUAAAAGAGACUUUUAUUUUGCAGCAGUGUUGUUUUUGUUGCCUUGCUAUUGAACUUUGAAAACAGUGUGGAGUGGGAAGGCAAUAAUGAAGUGUCUCCAAGGCUGAAGAUUUAGUUAAGUGUGUGCCUCAAGAUGGCAAGAAGAAAGUUAGUUACUUAGUUAAUUGAGAAUUAUUCAACUUCUGAGAUCGUCACAGAAGCUUGGUGAACUGGGGUGAGGGAAAUUUUCAGUUGUUUUUUGCCAGGACAAGUUAUACUGCAGCUGAAGGAGAGAGUGAUAUAUCAACCAGGUUGUUGUCUGCAACAAGUGAUCUGUGAUGUGGUAAAGAUAACAGCAGUUAGCAGACCAUAGAUCCCACUUGUCUCUUCACGGAGUUCCUACAUUUAUAAGGGAUAUCGAGAGAGGUUAUCAUUCCAGCUGCUUAUCGCAGACCUGCCCUGUGGAUGCAGUGAGAGGAUUUCCCAUUUAGUGUGUAACAACAGGGACCUGGACCUGCAACUGUGCACCCAGUGGUCACCGGGGACAGUAGGAGCUCAAGACCUUCACCGCAUUGGAACCAGGAGACUCCUGGCGUUGGCAAUCACUGGAACCAGGAACAAGAUAAGUGGAUUCAGGUGGAAGAUACCCAGAUCGGUGGGAUAGAUCAGAUAAGAUGGUGAAGGAAGUCCUUGAUGCCCGUGCAAACGUGACAGUCACUAGCGCCUCUCAGAGGGACAGCGUCACUGACAGGGUGUGCAGCCUUUUUAUGCCUUUUGUGUCGCGAAAGUGGAAAUUGACACCAGAGGAGCCCUGAUGGGUAGUUUGAGGGGUUUGUGUGUGUUUCCCCCUUGAUAAAUAGUUUUAAUAAAGUUGAGG